GAUCAUGGCUCAGGAUGAACGCUAGCGACAGGCUUAACACAUGCAAGUCGAGGGGCAGCACGAUGUAGCAAUACAUUGGUGGCGACCGGCGCACGGGUGAGUAACGCGUAUGCAACCUACCUAUCAGAGGGGAAUAACCCGGCGAAAGUCGGACUAAUACCGCAUAAAAACAGGGGGUUCCACAUGGAAAUAAUUUGUUUAAAGAAUUAUCGCUGAUAGAUGGGCAUGCGUUCCAUUAGA
rnacentral:rRNA from 1 species